GCACUGCCUCUGACCCGCGCUUUUCAACACUGGCAGUCUUAUUAGUUUACAAACAAAAUGCUUAAAUAAUAAAUUUAGCAUGUAGAAUCCAAGGACAUGGCACCUCAGCUCUCGAAUGGUCAGCAUUAUGUGGAAAGUGCCCGGGUGUACAUGAAAAAGGACUCAUCCAUUCGCAUAAAGUGCUGUCUCUGCAAAGCGGACACUUUUGCCGGUGGCGAGUGGGAGGAUUUCCUGAGACACCUAGUUCAAAAGCAUGGAGCAGCCGGCCAGGUGAAUGGAGAUGUGGAUGAGAUCCAGGACGAGGUCCAGGUGGAGCUGGCCAACCUCUCAGAGGCGGGCAUUGGCCAGGAACCCGAAGUGGCAGAGCACCAGGAGCCGGAAUUGUUCACCAAUGUGGAGUUUCUUGAAGACGAACAGGUUAACGAUGAACUUAGUUCUCUUUCUGAAGAAGAGUCGAAUCAGGAUGAGCCUGGAAAGAUUAGCCAGCAAGACUACAUUCUCAACAGACCCAACAAGCCCUUCUACAGCCUCCAACGCACUAGACCUGAGAUAAUUCACUAUUUCAUAGAACUUCUGCGCCGGCACAAGUUCCUGUGGAGCAGCCACCGUGGAACUAACCGAGACGAUCGCCUGAGGAGUUCGCAACAAGUGGCAGAGGCACUGUUCCAUCGGUUUGGCUUCCAGCUGCAGCCCCAGGUGAUCGGUGCCAGUGCCCGUUUCCUGCAGGUCUGGUUCGAGCGGCAGUAUGUGAUGCAGCUGAGCAACUCCGACUUUCGCUGCCGCCACCCGAAGUACUACCGCAGCUUGCUGAGAUUCAUGCCCACGAGCCACAUCUCGGUGACCAUUUGCGAGGAGUGCGACAGGCGUUUCCUCAACGAUCUUCAGCUGCGGCUGCACAAGUUCCGCGUUCACGACGGACCCAAUCCGAAUGUGUGCCAGGUGUGCCACCAAGGAUUCCCGCUCGCUUCCAAGCUGCAGCAGCACCAGGCGCGUUAUCACUUCAAGCCGCAAGAGUGGCAGUGCGGCCAGUGCGCCUACAACGCCCCCUCCAAGUGGGACUUCCAUCAGCACCAGGCCAUGCAUGCGGGGGAGCGGAACUACACCUGCGAGGUGUGCGGGCACAGCUGCAAGACCAGCUCUGCCUUGGCCGUGCACCGGCGCACCCACGACCAGCCGAGAUUGGCCUGUCCCCACUGUAGCCGGCAAUUCCGAGAGAAUUACACUUUGAAGUGCCACAUCCGAAAAUUCCACGAGGGCGACAGUGUGCGCAGGUUCUCCUGCAGCGUCUGCCGGCGGAGAUUUCAGACCAUGGAGGUGCUGGAGCUGCACAAGCUGGUACACGCCGAGAGGGCAGAAGAGGAAUCAGAGGAGGAGGAGGACCCUUAGGGACUGAAAGUUGAUGAAACCAAGGGUCUACACUUAUGAUAAGAAAACAAAUCUCCUCCAGCUAUUAAACUUAUUAUCACCACGUUUUCGCCUCGUAUCAGGAUCUGUGGCAGAUGCCGCACUAUCUCCACGUUCUUUCGGUUCAAACUU